rnacentral:rRNA from 1 species
AUUGAACGCUGGCGGCAGGCCUAACACAUGCAAGUCGAACGUGUGGCGGACGGGUGAGAAAUGUCUGGGAAUCUGCCUGAUAGAGGGGUAUAACUACUGGAAAGGGUUGCUAAUACCGCAUACCAUCAUACGCGCCCAUAUGCGAUUAGCUAGUUGGUGGGGUAACGGCUCACCAGGGCGACGACCCCUAGCUGAUCAGAGAGGAUGACCAGACGCGCUGGAACUUAGACACGGUCCAGACUCCUACGAGAGGGAGCAGUGGGGAAUAUUGAACAAUGGGCGCAAGCCGGAUGCAGACAUGCCGCGGGUAUUAAGACGGCCUUCGGGUUAUAAAGUACUUUCAGCGGAGAGGCGUUGCCAGCAGAGGGAGCACCGGCUAACUCCAUGACAGCAGCCGCGAUAAUAC